GGGUGCGACUAAAAUGACUUAGUCGCAGGUUUUGCGAGUGGUCGGGCCGCCAUUC
rnacentral:ncRNA from 12 species